UACGGGGGGAGCAAGCGUUGUUCGGAUUUACUGGGCGUAAAGGGCGCGUAGGCGGUCAGCACAAGUCAGUUGUGAAAUCUCCGGGCUUAACUCGGAAAGGUCAACUGAUACUGUGCGACUAGAGUGCAGAAGGGGCAACUGGAAUUCCCGGUGUAGCGGUGAAAUGCGCAGAUAUCGGGAGGAACACCAGUAGCGAAGGCGGCUCGCUGGGCCAUUCCUGACGCUGAGACGCGAAAGCUAGGGGAGCGAACAGG
rnacentral:rRNA from 1 species